rnacentral:rRNA from 1 species
AUUGAACGCUGGCGGCAUGCUUUACACAUGCAAGUCGAACGGUAACAGGCCUUCGGGUGCUGACGAGUGGCGCACGGGUGAGUAAUGCAUCGGAACGUACCCAGAGGUGGGGGAUAACGCAGCGAAAGCUGUGCUAAUACCGCAUGUGAUCUGAGGAUGAAAGCGGGGGACCGAGCAGCAAUGUUUGGCCUCGCGCCUUUGGAGCGGCCGAUGUCGGAUUAGCUAGUUGGGGGGGUAAAGGCCUACCAAGGCGACGAUCCGUAGCUGGUCUGAGAGGACGACCAGCCACACUGGGACUGAGACACGGCCCAGACUCCUACGGGAGGCAGCAGUGGGGAAUUUUGGACAAUGGGCGCAAGCCUGAUCCAGCAAUGCCGCGUGCGGGAAGAAGGCCUUCGGGUUGUAAACCGCUUUUGGCAGGAACGAAACGGUGUCCGCUAAUACCGGGCGCUAAUGACGGUACCUGCAGAAUAAGCACCGGCUAACUACGUG